rnacentral:rRNA from 1 species
UAUCUCUGUAGAGUCUGCAUAUCAAUAAGCGGAGGAAAAGAAACUAACAAGGAUUCCCCUAGUAACGGCGAGUGAAGCGGGAAGAGCUCAAAUUUGAAAUCUUCAAGGUUUGACCUUGACGAAUUGUAGUUUAAAGAAGUGUUUUCGGUUAGAGGAGUAGUAAAAGUUCUUUGGAAUAGGACAUCAUAGAGGGUGAGAAUCCCGUAUUUGACUAUUCUUUCUAGCUUUGUGAUACACUUUCAAAGAGUCGGAUUGUUUGGGAAUGCAGUCCAAAAUGGGUGGUAAAUAUCAUCUAAAGCUAAAUAUUGGCGAGAGACCGAUAGCGAACAAGUACCGUGAGGGAAAGAUGAAAAGAACUUUGAAAAGAGAGUUAAACAGUACGUGAAAUUGUCAAAAGGGAAGCGUUUGACACCAGUGUUGUUUUUCCGAAAAUCAAUUAAAAAUUGAUUCAUGCCAGGUUGUAUUGACCUUAUCAGCUUGCAAUUUGGUUUUGGGUCUCUUUUUGAUGCACUUUUCGGUUAACAAGUCAACAUCAAUUUCCUUUGCUGUAAAAAGGUAAGAGGAAGGUGGCUUCAAUUUCGGUUGAAGUGUUUAUAGCCUUUUAUCUCUGCAGUCGGGGAGAUUGAGGUCUGCAGCGUAGAUCCUUCGGGGCUAGAUACAUUUAUGCUAAGUUAUAGCUUUUCAUAGACAACUUGUUGACUAUGUUUAGUCAUGUAGCUUACUCGUAAGUGCUAUUUUACCUACGCUUAGGAUGUUGAAGACUCUACAGAGAU